AGUGAACGCUGGCGGUGGGCCUAACACAUGCAAGUCGAACGGCAGCACAGUAAGAGCUUGCUCUUACGGGUGGCGAGUGGCGGACGGGUGAGGAAUACAUCGGAAUCUACUUUUUCGUGGGGGAUAACGUAGGGAAACUUACGCUAAUACCGCAUACGACCUACGGGUGAAAGCAGGGGAGCUUCGGACUUUGCGCGAUUGAAUGAGCCGAUGUCGGAUUAGCUAGUUGGCGGGGUAAAGGCCCACCAAGGCGACGAUCCGUAGCUGGUCUGAGAGGAUGAUCAGCCACACUGGAACUGAGACACGGUCCAGACUCCUACGGGAGGCAGCAGUGGGGAAUAUUGGACAAUGGGCGCAAGCCUGAUCCAGCCAUACCGCGUGGGUGAAGAAGGCCUUCGGGUUGUAAAGCCCUUUUGUUGGGAAAGAAAAGCAGCAGGUUAAUACCCCGCUGUUCUGACGGUACCCAAAGAAUAAGCACCGGCUAACUUCGUG
rnacentral:rRNA from 1 species